UUUCUUUUCCGUACAAUACAGAGAAACCCUUUUUUUCUAAUCCUAUUCUCACUACUUUUCCAGACACGCACAGUAACUAACAAUUUCCAUCCAACAACUUCACUAAUCUUUUUAUUUUUGACAGUAGAAACAACAACCACACUUUAACACUCUCUCUCUCACGAAUCACACAUAAUUCACACAAUUGCUUUUUCUACCUUUUGGUCUAAAAGAUCACCUCCACUACCAAUCUCAUUCAACCAUAAACAAUUACUACACAAAUCAUACCUAUCCAAAUCCACAACACAAAAUCCAUGUCAAAAAUUAACAAUACAAGAUCCAUAUGGUUCAUGUUUUUUUUUCUGCAGAAAAUAAAGAAGAAGUGAAUCUGGAAAUCGAAAUUUCGACUCCGCCGCAAAUCAAAAGCGCUUCAUAAACCACGAUGAUCUUGUACCCGAACCAACCACGCUCCGGCCGCUCUGCUUCUUGCCGGAAUCACUCCGACGACCUCCACGCGGAACCUCCGCAACGCCGUCCGCGAGUCGCCCAACCACUUGCCGCCGACGCUUUCCAUGUCCGACAUUCAUAGCUUGGGCACACAUGCAUGGAUUAAUCAGAGAUCUUUCCGACUACGCGCCCUAUCAAUCAAAAGCUAAGUUCUAAUCCCUCGUAUUUAUUUAAAUAUCAUUUUAUUUUGCCUUUUUUGAUUAAAAUAGGUUUAGCUUCAAUCGCCAAUGAAUUGAUAAUGCACUCACCCUUCUGUUUAUUCUUCCUUGUCCAAAUUUUCAGGGUUUGUCAAUUGCCAAAGCUACGAAUAUCG